GACGAACGCUGGCGGCGUGCUUAACACAUGCAAGUCGAACGGAAAGGCCCUGCUUUUGUGGGGUGCUCGAGUGGCGAACGGGUGAGUAACACGUGAGUAACCUGCCCUUGACUUUGGGAUAACUUCAGGAAACUGGGGCUAAUACCGGAUAGGAGCUCCUGCUGCAUGGUGGGGGUUGGAAAGUUUCGGCGGUUGGGGAAGGACACGCGGCUUAUCAGCUUGUUGGUGGGGUAGUGGCUUACCAAGGCUUUGACGGGUAGCCGACCUGAGAGGGUGACCGGCCACAUUGGGACUGAGAUACGGCCCAGACUCCUACGGGAGGCAGCAGUGGGGAAUAUUGCACAAUGGGCGGAAGCCUGAUGCAGCAACGCCGCGUGCGGGAUGACGGCCUUCGGGUUGUAAACCGCUUUCGCCUGUGACGAAGCGUGAGUGACGGUAAUGGGUAAAGAAGCACCGGCUAACUACGUG
rnacentral:rRNA from 1 species